ACUAAAUAGAUACCCUGGUAGUCCACGCCCUAAACGAUGUCUACUAGUUGUUGGUGGAGUAAAAUCCAUGAGUAAACGCAGCUAAACGCGUGAAGUAGACCGCCUGGGGAGUACGGUCGCAAGAUUAAAACCUCAAAGGAAUUGACGGGGGCCCGCAUAAGCGGUGGAUUAUGUGGAUUAAAUUCGAUGCAACGCGAAAAACCUUACCUGGCCUUGACAUGCCACUAACGAAGCAGAGAUGCAUUAGGUGCCCGUAAGGGAAAGUGGACACAGGUGCUGCAUGGCUGUCGUCAGCUCGUGUCGUGAGAUGUUGGGUU
rnacentral:rRNA from 1 species